GUAAUAACGAUGAAGAAGAGGAGUAAUUAAUUACUUGUUUUUAGAGAGUGACUGUUUGGUGAAAGGUCAUAAGAAGUAUUAAUGAAGGUAGCUUUGGAGUUGGCUUUACGAAAAAAAAGUAGUUUAGUCCGUUAAUCGCGUUAAGAUAAAUGAAGAGCACAUUAUGUGAACUAAGGUGGUACCGCGGAAUUUUCGUCCUUAAG
rnacentral:ncRNA from 1 species